UUUUUUUUUUUUUUUUUUUUGUAAAAAUGUCUCUCUUAAGCACUAUUACUAACACAUAGGGCCAUGAAUAAAUCAAACCUUUAACGAAUAGUUCGGAUUCGAUUCGUUAAAACUCUAUUCAAGUUUAACUUUGAACGAGUUCGAAUUCAAAUUUGCUUCAGUAUUAAAAUUCGAUUAAAGUAUCAAAUUAAAUUUGAACUUUACAUAUUUGGCUCGUUAAGAAUCGAAUAAUAGUUAUAUAUAUAUAUAUAUAUGUUAUUUAAUAUACAUAAAUAUUUUAUAUUAAUAAUAUAUUUAUUAUUCUAUUAUAUAUUUAUUAAUGAUAAAAUAAUACUAAAAUGUAGAAAAUAAAUAAAAAUUUUGAGCUCUUGAAUCGAAUUCAAACCUACCGAAUAUAAUAUUGAAUUAAGCUCGAACUUAAAUAUUAAUCUCGAGCUCGAGUUUGAGUUUGGACCCAGAACUUUGAAUAGAUACCGGCAAUUUCAAAGUUGGAUUCAAUUCAAUUCGUUACGGUUCCACUAACACCCGUACAAUUACAAUGCUGAAAAUGGCAUAGAAUUCUGCGUAAAGCCAGAAGGGCAAAAAGGAAUGCCCGGCGCAGAAGUCAAGUAGCAUAUAUCAAGCAAAAAGCAAACACUAAUGAAGUUGGGCACUAAAAGACGACAAUGCUGAACAAUGAAGAAUUGAACAUCACCCAUCUCAAGUCUCUCAACCACUUCCGAGUUCCAUCAACUUGCUGGCCAGUUCAUGGCACGCAACCUCGCAGGUCGAGCCAGCAAAAAAAAAAAAAAAAAGACGAGAAAAAGAAAGACUACUGCGUAUCUAGAAUUAUAUCAUUCAGAACGACUAUGAAUGCUCCUCCAUGCAUCACUUUUUACAAAGUAGAAAUCUCUUUUAUUUUUGUUAAAAAUCACUGUAACUGCAGGCAUUUCAGCUCCUUUAUCGUAGACUACGCAAUUGAAACAAAAACUAUAUGGAAAUAUCAUAGCUUUGUCAUUGUCUCGCUCUCUCUCUCUCUCUCGAAUGCAGAGUGAAGUAGAAAGAGCACUCAGAGGACCUUUUGUGUGUACAGCGAAGAAAGAUAGGGUUCCUUUUGUAUUGUGACUGGUGUAUAAAUGGUAACUGACAUGAGAAACGACAGAAAGCGCAUAUUGGACUCGAGCUUUUGGCAAGUAAAGGAGGCAGAGCCUAACUAAGCUUUUUCUUCCAGACGUUCCGUAUAUCUGGAUUUUUCUUGCACGGGUUUAAAGGAAUUCUUUGCAGAAUCGAACACAUACAUUACCUUUUAAUGCUUGGUUAUGCUUCAGCUUUUUUAAGAAAGUAAUCGUUAUCACUAAUCAGCCAUGAGAGUAAUGAAAAGGGAAUUAAAACCUCACGAUCUACCUACCAGGGCAUGCAGUUGUAAGUUUGAUAUACCCAAUACUUGAUGUGUAUGGCUUAUGCUGAGAUUGACACUUGAGAGUCAAAGUUCAUAUAUACUGCUAUAUCAUGAGAGGAGAAGACGAUAUGUAAUUUGUUUUUUCGUAACACUUGCAUGAGCUCUUCGAGAGUGGGAGAAAACUCCUUGCACUACCGCUUGAUGAUAUUUUUGUGAAAGAUUAAGAACCCAACGUUGCUAAAACGUCUUUGAGUCAUGGUUCAAAGUCGCGGUCGCGGUCACGGUCGCGGCCUGGAACGUUCCACAUCGGUCUCGGCAUAUUGGUCGCGGUCUCGGUGAGACACAAAUUUUAAAGUAUUUAAUAUUCUAAAAAUUGUUAAUAAUAUAAAAAAAGUAUGCUAAACAAAAAUAAUAAAAAAUAGCAAAAGAAAUGGCCAAGUCAAUCUGUCACGGUGUAACUCGGCCGAGUCAAUCCGUCGCGGUGACGUCUCGGCCGAUUUCUCGGCGAGUCAAGUAUCUCGGUAUCGUUUCGUUACGGUAUCGUAUCGGUAGGGGCCGAGACGGUGACGACUCGGUCAAGUCGUCUCGAUCUCGGCCAAGACUUAGAACCAUGCUUUGAGUAGUCAUCGUCACUCUCGUCUAUUUAACCAACAUUUAUUGCUCAUCGAGAAUUCGUAGUAAUUACCCUAGCUAGUCACGGCAAAAUCAAUAAUGCGUAAAUAAAAAGGGGGGAAAAAUAUCCUCUGUAAGUUGAAGCCAAUGGCUUGUCUGGAUUCAGGUCCUCACAAAAAUGACACAAUUUUGAUGUAAAAUUUGAGUCCAUAAUUUAUUCAAUUAAAUUUGUGCAAAAAUCACAAUUACAUGGAAAUUACACCAUUUUACAGCGCAUCACUUAUGAGACGCGAACUCUAACUCGUGACCUUGAAAUGAAUCACUCCCCUCUCUCUCAAAACCCUUUGAUCGAUUGCCAAAAAAGGAGGAGCGAAAAUGAAUAAUGGCAGUAAUGAAGGCGCAACUGCGAAUCGCUCGUCAAUAAUAAUUGCCCUGACACUAUCGGAGGUCGACUGCUGGGAUCCCAUUCAUUGGAUGCAAUAAUAGCAAUAGCUUUUGCUAAUUAUUAGUCGACCUGUAACUAUAAUCUUUACUCCUCACCUUUCGGUACCCGCUCCAACUGUUCACGGGUUUUAGUGGUGACGAAGGAGAAACAAUCAUGGAGCUCUCUCCGUUUCUUUUCUUUUCUUCUCUUCAUGAUGGACGAUGAAAAGCAUAGGAAGCAGUACACACGCUACGGCGUACUAGAAUCAUCGGCGACUGUUAAUUUGGUCUGGUCGUCUCUGGUUGAUUCUCACUAGGGUCAUUAAUUGAGUGGAUUAUUUGUGUACUAUCUAUGAUGUCCUCCCCCGGACCGGCUGAGUAAAGGUGCAAGAUUCAUCGAGUAACGGUAAUUCAUUGCAUUGUUAACGGAAUAUUAAACCUUGGUGCAUGGUCAGUAUCAUUCAGUGAAAAUCCAUGAGAAAAAGUAAAAACCUUUUCUAUGCGAUGGGAAGCAAAAAUUCAAGUAUCUGCCAUUUUUAUUAGUCACUCUCUCCAACAAUCAUUUUAAUCAUAUUAUUAUUUUUAUCUAUUACUUCAUAUGAUAAACUAAAUUGUGGGAGUGAAAAAAACACUGCCCUUUGAAUUAUUUGUCCUUUUCUACCGAUAAAACCCCUUGCCACUUGAGUUGUUUGGGUUUUGACAUGAAUUACUUUUUAUCUGUUCAAAACAAUAACAUCUUUUGGCGGCCUUUGGCACAGGUGAAAAUCUUUGUUUGAAAUGGCACAAUGCAAGUUGAAUUGGUAAAAAACCAAAUCCAAGAUAUAAAUAAUGAUUAGCAUGACUAUUUAGAGUUGUAAAGCAGCAUAUAUGGGCAUUGGUUAAAAAAAAAAAAAAAAGUUCCAUCUCAAAAAUGGGGGAAGAGUUUUUUUUUCCCCCCUCUUCUCUUAUUUGAAAAAGUUUAAAAAGGAAGGGAAAAAGCUAAGUUCAAAACGGUGAAAGGAAAACAAUUACAGCCCAUACAAAUUCUGGAGGAACGUAAAAUUUUAAACUUGUAACUACUAGGGCAAUUGAAUCCUACAUCCCGUGGAUUUAGACAAUGGAUGUUUCUUCCUCAGAGAGUCAAUAGUUUUUUCACCUAAGUGGUUUAGUUAACGUGUCAUGAAAAUUAAUCCUAAUGAGUGCAAAAAUUUCAAGUCGAUGUUUGGUGUGGAGAUGAGAUUUAAGUUCCUCUAAUUCCUCUUAUCCCAAAAGAAUAAUUUUGCAAACCUCCCUUGAGUUGUAAUAAUUGCAAAGAGCUCCCUUCAAAUUUUAAAAAUUACAUAUACUUCCCUUAUAUUUACUGUUUAUAUAACAAUGUUGGUCCAACAAUCUAGAUUUUCUUUCAAAGAUCCUAAAUUGCUUUUUUGUACAAUACUAAAAAAGAAAAAUAUAGCAUACUCAAUCACUUUCUUUCAUACUUUACACAAAUUUACUAUCCUAAUCCUUUUAACAACCGCCCAAGCAUAAAUUCCAAUUCCAAUUUUGAGCAGCCACUUAAAAGUUCCUAAAUUGCAUAUAUAACAUCAAUAUGUGCCACAUCAAAACACACACACACACACAUACCUGACAAUCAAUUUUAUUCUAAAAAAUUAAAUCUGAAUGCCCCAACGCCUUUCCAAUACUAAUCUUGUCGUUAAAAAUAUUAACACCUAAGAAGUAAAGAAUAAAUUCUACCUCCACGACAAAAUCAUAAACAACAAUUAUUAAUCCAACAAAAGAAAUCCUUAUGCAAAUUAUUGAUAUUUUUUUAAAAAAUAUUGAUAACAGAUAAAAUGCGAUGACUUUCACAUUUUUGGUCAUUCUUUCUAUUUUAAUCAUCAAUUCAUUAUUUAUUUCUCUAUCACUGCAAAUCUCUUCAUUUCCUUUUAGCUUGACACAUACUCUUCUCUGUGUGAUGAUUUUGCAAUUUCAAUUUACUAAUACCCAUAAAACUCAAGCUAAUAAAAGAGGGAAUAGCAGUUUAACAUGUAAAAAAGAGAGAAGCAGAAAUGGACAUGAGAUAGAGAAAUAGGAUUUUUUUGGGGGGUUUCGUAAAUCAUUGUCUUAAACCGUGAAUUGUCCACUAAGUGAAGGAUAUCAUAGGUGCUUUACUAUGUUAAGGGAAAUAAGUGUAAUUAUUUAAACCAAAGGGGAGCUAGAUGAAAUUGUUAGAAACUUCAAGGAAGGUUUGUGAAGUUAUCCCUUUCCCAAAAGCCUGUUAGAAACUUUCUACAAGUAAAGGUAAGAGAAGAACUUCUGCCCUUUGUUCGAAACAACAAUACUAGUGCUUUAAUAUUUUCUUCCCUCAAACUUCUCACUUCAGAUUUGAUGGAGAAUGAAAAGUCUGACGGCACAUUCUCCUAGAUAUCAUGCAAAUAUAUAUCCCUGAUAAUAUUUUCAUUUUCUAAUAGGAGUAGUUGGCCAUCAAAAGUGCCUUAAGUUUAUUUCUUGACCUACAUUUUUUAAUCCAGAAUUUUUUGAAAUGUUCCCCUAGUGAGUGCAAAGGUAUCCGUCUGAGUCGGUGGUGGUUUAAUUCCUGUCGAAUUAUCCCUUUGGGGGUGCGUAGGCAUCCGUUUGAGCUGACGGUGAUUUAGUUCCCACCGAGAGUAAAUGGUGGUUUAAUCCCCCUGAAUUAUUCCACUAUAGAAUAAUAGGUAUAGUAUAGAAUUUAUCGUGUCCCCGACAAAAAAAAAAAAACAUUUUCAUUUCCUCGAAAAAGAAUCUUUAGCAUGAAUUGGUAAGUGGCUUACUGCGUGGCCAAAGACAGUAACUUGUUUUGCACAGCCAUAGUGGGUGUUUUAAUAGUGGCCACUGCCCGUCUGAGCCUGCUUUUAGUUCGAACGUACCAAGACGGUCGCAAAUGCAAUGGAGCCUGGCCAAGAGAUUUUAAUUGCUACUUGGUACUAACGAAACAAUAAUAAUGGCAAUAUUUGUGCAGAGCAACAGAGGUAAGGAAUGGCAACUGGCAAAGGAACCAACCACCACCUCCAGCAGCAAGCUAUGGGAAAGGAUGAGGCGUACGUACGGGCCCUGUGUUUGGCAGACAGACGAAAGAAAGGCCAACAAUUAUUAGAGAAGACAUGGAGGGGUUCCGUUCCCUUACAUAUACAACAUGCUCCUAUUGUGUGAUGCUUUAUGCCCUGCAGCUAAGCCAAAUAGUAGCAAUUUCUUGGCUUUGUUAAUAAAUGUUUUUCACUGUUAGACUUUGGCCAGUACUGGCCAACGAAGAAUGGUGCGAUAACAGUAGUGUGAGUAUGAUUAAUGUUGUUUACAUGAUUUAGUACGACAAUGAUACUUUAGUGGUAGUCAAUUGUCUCAACAACUCUGUAUAUAGUAACUAUUUUUUUCCAAUUACAUGUGGCUGAUGAGCAAACAGUUUUGAAAAUUUCCCAAUAUCCUUGCCCUUUAGUUAGAUUAGGAGUAAAAUCCAAAUAAGGGUUCGUGCUUGUUUAUCUCGGAGCAUGUAGUGUUACAUUACAUAUAUACAUUACGUACCCUUGGUGGGUUGAGAAACUCUUCCCUAUUUAAUUUGCAUGACUAAAUAAUUCCAUAUAUUGCGUUUCUCUUUAUUUUCUCAAAAAAAAAAAAAGGUGUCAUUACUACAAAGAAAUUUAUGAAAUCUGGUACAAAUUAUGAGAAAGUGUUAAUUAUCAUGAAAUCUGGCACUAAUUAUGAAGUGUGUAUCUUUCUUUUUUCACGUACAAUUGCGAAUUGUCUCGUAAACAGAAACAUGGUAGUACUGGAUAUAACGGGAAAUCCGUGAUCCUUAUGGUCUAUUAUCAAGAAAAAAAAGGGUUCAAUUUUACCUAAUUCAAUCACUCAACAAAAUCAACCAAUUUGCUACCACUAUAGUCUUUUAAAGCUUGAUGUGGUGGAAGGUUAAGGGUUCAAACAUUACCUCUCACCAUAUGCCCGUUAUAGUGGUUUAAAUCCAUACAGAUACACUACGCACCGUCUGACCUAAAGUUGAUUUAGUUUCCGUCGAUUACUCAAUAGGUUCAAUUGGUGCUCUUUUCUUUAGAAUAGAUUAUAAUAAGAAUAGAAGUAAGUGUGAAAUAUGCAAACUGCAACUGACCCAAAAAAAAAAAAUAUAUAUAUAUAUAUAUAUAUAUAUAUAUCAGUGAAACAAAACCAGGGAGCCUGAAGAUAUAAAGGACGUCCUUCUCUUUCUUAGGUGACUGAUGGUUUUUACCAGUAUUAAUCUAGCAGUCUACUACUUCUAUUACCGAGAGCAUAUCUUCGCGUGAGACAGACGUUACUGAUUUUCUGUUCCUUUGCUAAACCCGAUCUCUUCUUCUCCUUCUUUGAAAUCCCAAAAUAAAUAAAUUUACAUACAUACAUAUGUAUAUAUAUACUGUACAUCUUCCCAUUUUUUAGUUGCAGUGUUAGUACAAGCAUACGGAGCGGCUUAACUCGUGUAGUUUCAACUUUAAUGUUGUAGUUAAUGUUUGAUGUUAAAAUGUUGUACAGGAGACCACAUUUGAUUUGACUACUUGGUUUCAAAACUUUGAAUUUGGUUUCAAAACUUUAAUGUUGUAGUCCAUGGGAAAUGUACUCAUUUAUACCGCAUUUUUUCGUUUCUUUUUUUUUUUUUUGGGAGGGGGUGGGGAGAAUGAGGGAGCAAUGUUGAAACCAACUUGUGUCAGGCAAGUUAACCAUCAAAAUAGAUUUAGAAUCUUUCAUUGAUCGGUAAGUUAAAGGUUCAAGUCUUACGCUUUGAAGUUAAAAAAAAAAAUCAAAUUACAUGUCAAAGCAUACUUUUAAAUUUGAUGAUUUGUCUUCACUUUAAGCUUUCUCGAUAAAAAAAGAGAGAGAGAGCGCAAUCACAAUCGGGGCAGGUGAAUGGAGGAAUCAAGUUCAGCAUUUAUGUUUGGUGAAUUAGAUCAAUUUUUCUAUCUACCUUUUCAUCUAUUAGUACCUGUUUGGAACCUGAGUUUUUUUGGAGUUUGUCUAAAACUUUACUGUAGUGUACUGUAGAAGUUUUUGAAAAAAUUUUGUAGAAAUUUUUUGUAAGGUGAAAAUAUUUUUUGUAGAAGUUUUUGUAAGAUAAAAAAUUUUGUAAAAGUUUUUGUAAGGUGAAUUUUUUUCCCCUUUUCUUUUCUUCAUUUCUUUCUUUCUUUUUUUCUUUCUCUUUCUGUUUCUUUUUUUCCUUUUUCUUUUCUUUCCUCUCUUUCUUCUUCUUCUUUUUCCUUCCCCCUCCCGCCACCCCCUCCCCCCGCCAUCCCUUCUGCCCCUUCCCCCUCCCCUUUACACGCCACCCCCCUUCCUUGUUCCCCUAUUCGCCUGUCAACUGUAAUGUUGGCAUAAUUAGAAGGAGAAAGAAAAACUAGAGCAGAAGGAAAGUAACUGCUGCUGCUGCAUAGGUCGGGGGAGUUUGGCCAAGGAGGGGAGGGGAGGAGAGAGGGAGGGAGAAAGGAAGGAAAAAAAAUUUGGGAACACCAGUGCCGGAAACGGCGGCGAAAGUGGUGGGCGCGAUGAAGGUAUAGUGGAUGGGGUGAGGGAGAAAGAAGAAGAAAGAUAGAAGUUUUUUAUGUAUUAAAUAUUUUGAAAUGUGUAGGUUAAAAAAUUUGAUAAGUUUUUUUGGGUUUCUGUAGUUAAAGUUGUUAAAAAACUUAUAACUAAAAAACUUGGCAAAAAAACUGACACUUUCAAACAGGCCUGAAACUUCUAUUUGAGCCUCUGCGGAGCACAAUUUUUCUUUCCUUUUUUUUUAUUUUAAAAAAUUGAAGUGUUUGUUUUCUUUUCUGGGGUAAUUGGUCUCAUUUGGUAUUGCACUAACGUUUUGUAGAUUCUCGUGCUAAUUAAUAUGAGCAGAAUUAGUAGGUGAUUGUGAUUUUGUUCUUUUCAAGAUUAAAUUUUUUCUAACGAUAUUUUAAUUGCCUCUUUUGAUGUUUUUAGCAUAGUUCAAAUAGAACGGUUGACGUUGAUAAUCACAUCACAUUAGCGUUAAUAUAUAGUAAUUAGGUUGGUAACCUCAAAAGUUCAAACAUCCUGAAAAUCGAGAGCCCCACAAAUUUUUUCCCCAAUCCAGUGUAAGACAAACAGGGACAAUUGACAAACCGGGUUAGACAUGGUCAACCCUUUUGAGUUUCUCUUUCUCCCCAGGGCUUUCCAUCCCCCGCCCAUCUCAAUCACGUGUAGACCGUAGACUCUACGCUCUCCCACCAAAAAAUCCAGCCAUGAUUAAUUCCCUAAUCAAACCAUUAGACGCGCAUAAUCAGAGAUGUGAUCCUACCAUUAUUCAUCGGUGUUAGCUAAUUCAUUGUUAAAACCACACAAGAGACCUGCUUAGACUUGAAAUCUUGUGUCUCACUUCUACUUGCGAAACAGUUAUAGGCACCUUUCUUAGACUGAUUUGCACUUACAAUGGGUUUGUUUGGAUGAUUUAUUUGAAAUAAUUACUGUAGCACUUUUUGUGAUGUGAUGUGAUGUAUGUGAAAUAGAAAUGUGAUUGGAAAGAUAAAAAAGUGAUUAUAAUUUGUGAAAUAAAUUAUUUUAUUUGAAAUUUGAAAAGAUAAAAAGGUGAUUGAAAUGUGUUUACUAGUAUUAAGUUUUUAUCAAAUACGCACAAUCAUUGUGCAAUUUAUGCUUUUAUGUUCCUUGAUCAAAAGAUUUAGUUCAACACUAAAUGGAGUUUACUUGGCUGACUGCAAUUAGGAAACUCACGGCUAUUUGUUAUCAAUAUCAAAAGCGUCAUGUCUUGUAGACUACCAAACCAAACGAAUUUGUUCAAAUGCCUUGUAGGUAAUCACUUAAGAUUAACUCAGUUGGUGGCAAUAUGCUUCACUUAUUUGAUGUGUACGUGUGUGUAUAUACACACAAUCAUAUAUAUAUAUAUAUAUAGAUACAUAUGUAUCUAUACAUAUAUAUUCUUGAUAUAUAUAUAUAUAUAUUUAGUUGGUACAGUGUGCUUAGUAUACUAUCAAAGUUUUCAUGCUCUAUUUUAAAUUUAAAGACUUGUAAUAGUCCGCUACCAUAUUAAUUGGCAAAAAUAGGAGGAUGUGGAAUUAUCUACAAUGGGCUUGGGCGAAUGUGCCGUUACACGAGGAGUUAGAUGCCAGUGGUUCUGGUCCAGUAUCUAUCCCCAUCUUGGCUGAGCGCCAAAAUCCUCCGAAUCACACUUUAAAGUUUAAAAACUGAGACAAAAAUUGAGAAAGAAAAUUCAUUAAGGAAGAGAGAGAAGUCUAAGGAGGGAAAAAGGACAGGCGUGAAAGCUAUCCCAAAUAAAAUCCAUCCUGCGCAUCCUUUCUUUGGUAUACGCCACCCUUCGUUACCAAGCCCAGCAUCCCUAUUCCCCACCCCCUCCUCAAACCCCAAGCCCCCAACCCUUGUCUCUCUCUCUCUCUCUCUAUCUCUCUCUCUCUCUCUAGGACAGAAAAGAGAGAAAGAGGCAGAUAUGUUACUGGGUCCAAGAUUGGGUUAGAGUACUAGUAGUAUGAGGAGCUUCUCCUCCUAAAGAUAAUGAGAAUAGCCUUCACUGUCUUCUUCUCAUCAGAAGAAGAUGGUUACCCUUUCACAUUCUCAACAACAGCCACCACAAAUCCAGCUCCAAAAUCUAAUCUUUGAUGGCCUUUACUGUGAGGAAGAGCGUUUUGAUGAGGUUUUGGGAAGUGGGCUUGGUUUUGAACAAGAUGAGAGUGACUACUACUACUACUGUGACAAAAAGAGCUUAACUUUAUUAGAAAAUGACCUAUUUUGGGAAGAUGAGGAGCUUGUCUCUCUUUUAUCUAAAGAAAAAGAGGCUCAUUUGGGGAAUAAUAGGAGCAGUAAUCUUGACUCAGAUGGGCUUUUAAUUGUGGCUAGAAAAGAGGGUGUUGGAUGGAUGUUAAGGGUCAUUGGACAUUAUGGUUUUACCCCGAUGACUGCUGUUUUAGCUGUGAGUUACUAUGAUAGAUUCAUAUCUAGCCUCUGUUUUCAGAGGGAUAAGCCAUGGAUGAGUCAACUUGCUGCUGUUGCUUGUCUUUCUAUUGCUGCCAAGGUGGAGGAGAUCCAAGUGCCCCUUCUGUUAGACUUUCAAGUAUGUACUUUAAUUGUAAUUUUUUAAAUCAGUACUGCUCUCUCUGUUUUCUGUGUACUUAUAACUAGAUUUUGGAAUGUGGGGUGCUUGAUUUGUUGCCGUCUUGCUUUUCUGUUUCCAUAAGGUGGAAAGUGCGAAAUUUGUUUUUGAGGCGAAGACUAUUCAGAGAAUGGAACUUCUGGUGCUGUCUACUCUUCAAUGGAAGAUGAAGCUGGUGACACCUCUUUCAUUCAUUGACCACAUCGUGAGGAGAUUUGGAUUGAUGACUAACAGGAAUUUGGAGUUUCUUAAGAGGUGUGAGGACCUCCUUCUCUCUGUCAUUGUUGGUAAGGAGAUCAAGUCCUUGUAGUAUUAUUGCUUUGGAUUGAAACCACGGAUCAUUUAUCUGUUCUUUCUAUGGUGAAGUAAUCUAUAAAUUAUAUGAUGAACCUACUUGGAAUGCAGAUGCUAAGCUUGUGCAUUAUCUCCCAUCUGUGAUUGCUUCUGCUACAAUGUUGAUCGUUGUUAAAGACAUUGAUCCUUGUAGAUUAAUGGAAUAUCAGAAUCAGCUGAUGGAUGCUCUGAAGGUUAGCAAGGUGGGUGCUGAUUUGAUAAUUUCGGUCCUUGCUUCUGUAAUUUACAGAUUUCGAUAUCCUUAUUUCAUACUAAAUUUGCAAUUGGUGAAUCUUGAUUGUUCAUUUGAAUUAAUGCAGGAGACCAUAAAUGAGUGCUAUAAACUCAUCCUGGAGAUAAUGGAUGAUCAAGGAAACAAGCAUUACCAAAAUGGCAAGCGCAAACAUCAGCCGAUACCAGGCAGCCCAAAUGGUGUCGUUGAUGCAUACUUUAGCUGCGACAGCUCUAAUGAUUCGUGGGAUGUGGUACUUUCUGCAUCACCAUCGAAGCAGAUGUUCAAGAGAAGCAGAGUUCAGGACAAGUUAAUGAUGUUAUAAGUUCACCUAGCAGUUUGUCUGUGAGUUUGGAUAAUUGUCCUUUAUAACUCUCACGCUGUUGUUGGUAGAUUCUGUUGGCAAUAUUUAUCUAAUAUACUGAGGAUGGCGCUACAUAUGGUCUCUCUUUUUUAUGUGCGCUCUUAGAAUGCCAUGCAAUAUUAUUGAAUGCUCUCAUGUCUGACUGAUUUUCCGGCCAAAUUCAUGUAAUGGAUCAGAAAACUAUUUGCUAGAGGGAAUGAAUCUUGAAAUUGAAAGAGAGCUUGGUUAAACUUUUUCUUGCAUUGUAUCCAUAGUUCUGAUAAUUUCAUAGACUAACAUCAAUGGCAAAGGACAUUAAGCAGAGACAUAGUACUUACUUUAUAUCUGCGUGUUAUCCUCCUUUCACCCAUUCACAUGAGACAUGAAUGACACCUACACAAAGGUUGGUUACAAUCAUAGACAGUGAUGGGUGUGGGAAGUCUUUGGUUGUUCCUCAAAAAACUAAUUAAUGGAGUGACAUAAUUUUCAACGUAGAACAGGUUGGCACUAGACUAUAACUAGUUAAAUAAAUUGUGUGUAGAAAGAUUUAUUCUUGGAAGCAGGAAUAGAUUGUCGGCCAGUGGGAUUUCAGUAGUUGCUGAUAUGCUUUUUCUUGCUGGCUUUGACCCUGUGUAGAAAAAUUGCGGUUGUAGUAGUAAUCAAAGCUUGAUAGGUUGGGGGAGGGAUGGGUUGGAAUAAAGCUUGAUAAAAUGUUGGACUUGUGUCUUUGGAUCAAAGAGAGGCCAGAAUAGAUACAACCAGAACAUGUUAUUGGACUGAAGAGCUAGCUCUUCUGUGAAAAACAUGAUGCGGCAAUUACCUUGUGAGUGUGGUUUAUGAAUCUGAGAAUCAGUCAAAAAGACUGUGAAAUGAUGAUUCAAGCUUCAUCGUGACAAUACAGAGGAGACCUUGGGAAAGAAGGGUGAUCACAAUGGUGAGAUAAAACUUCCAAACCAAAAGAAGAGACAGUUUAAAAGAUUUCAAGUCCCUGAAUUAGUUCUCUUUUGAAAUCAGAUGCGUAAUUGUCAGUCAUAAUUGUGCUUGAUGUUCGUGAGGUGAUCAGGAGUGAAAUCACAACACAAGGAAUUUCCCUGAUUAUGCUUUGCAUGCAUAAAAGGAUUCUUUCUCAUAUGCUAUGCCGGCCAAUGAUAUCUUUGAUUGAUCCAUAAAAGUUCAUCUGAUUCCUGAUUAACUUGUUUGGCCGGUCUAUGGUUGUGGCCUGUGGGUUUUCAGGUGUCUAAUAAUUUGGCUAUAGUGGGAACCCAAGAGAGAGUCAUGGUUUUGACAAUAUAGUUCUUGCGAGCCAAUAGGUUCCUCACCUUGUGGGGUGUGUUUGGAUACGUGGUGGCUCCUUGAGCUAGGCUUGUAACAUUUUAACUUAGAAAAAAAAAAAAAAAGAGGAGUUCAAUUCCAGCUCAAGGAGGAAUGCGAUGUUGGUUGGGACUUGGGAGGUUUUUAAAUAUGGAUAUUGAUGGACUUGUCCACCCUUUUUGAUUUUGUGGGGAAGGGCUUGUCCAUAGAGACUUUUUGGGGGGGGGGGGUCCUCCCAGACCCUGUUCCAAGGGCUUUUCAGCUUUUAAGGCCGGUACCGGUAUGGCCUGAUGAUGGUUGAGGAUCAUCAACAGCAAAAUGAUGGAUUUUUUUAAGGAAAAUGAUUUUUCAACUUAACAGCUACCCAAUUAUUGCGGAAUGAUAGUACGUAAAUAGUACAUUAUUACUACGAGCAUCGACCAUUAGUACAGAAGACUUGUAAGUAGCCUGCCUGCUUGCCCUCCUUUUUAUUAAAAAUAAAAUAAAAUACGUACUCCUCUGCUGUUUGACCGACCGGUCAGUCUGACCACUUUGGGAGGGAAGCCCCGCCUCCGUUACAGCCUUGCAGCUUCGCAACUUUCUGACUUUAGCAAUGCCAUGAGCAAACGGCUUCAACAAUCAAUAUUAAUACUAGUGUACUAACACUUCUAUGUUUUUUUUUUUAAAAAAAAAAAAAAUUUCACUUCCAUUAUCAUUUUAAUUAUACAGUUUUAAUUGAUUAGAUUAUAUGAUCAAACUAAUGAUGAAAGUGCAAAUAACAAAAAUGGAAGUGUAAAUACUAACAUUUUACUUUAUUUUUAAUAACAAGAAUUGCUAUGCUAUUCGAUUAGAUUAGAUUAGAUUUGAGGUGAUUCUAAUUUGAGUUUUAGUAAACAAAAUAUCCACAUAGGAGAGAGUAAAAACUAAAAGCAAAAGGAGAUUAAAACUUUAGCAUUAGUCGUAGAAUUUUUUUAAUUCGUUAAUUAAUUGGGGAAUAAUCUUAUAGGGGGCAUUAAAGAAAAUAUCCACAUACUACAAAUGCAUGAACUUUCAAAUACUAAGAGGAUUCUUUUAACAUGUGUCCAAUAAGUGUCUGGUUAGUCCGCUUAAUUUAUCUAAUUUACCAUUUAAAUGCAGACAACCAUAUUUAUGGUCUUCUUGCAUUUAGUCAUUCCUCAACCUAACUUUAAAUUUCUAAAAAACUAACACAUGAUUAACACGUGUUUGAUGGAAUCACGUUUUACCAUGAACUAGUCUUUUUCUCCUCUUGACUAUCAGAUUAUUUACCAAAUUUUAUUUGCUUGCAUUAUCAACGCAUUAUUUAGUCACCUUUUAAUUUCAUAUACAUCACAUCAAAAAGCUGCUGUAAUAUUUUUUUUUUGCAGAAGAAAAAUUAUUCCAAAUAAUCUACUGUCCCAAACCACUCACUAAUUGGAGUACUUGUCAAAGCAAUACUUCUAUGCGCAUAUAUAUAUAUAAAAAAAUGCUUUCCAAGACUUUGAUAUGAUAUAUCAAACGGUGAAACUGCAAGCAUGGAGUUGGGGGAAAGAAACAGUGGGGGGAACAUGAGAUGCGGAUUCACAAACAAAAAAGGGUUCAUCAAUAAUGGUAGUGGAAUGGUCAGAUAAGAAGAACAUUCAACCAACGAACAGAUGAAAUUAUUUCAAUCUAAACUGUUCCAACGGAAUUGUAGCACAGCACAUUACACUACUUAUUUCACCAACUCGCAGAGUUUUCUGAAAAGGAAGCUGGACGACCAUUUAAGUUCCAUACAAACUGGACCAUAUAUUCCAUAAAUGUUGUACCUAAGGAGACUGAAAUUUAGUAAUGGUUUUAGUUGAAUGUAGUCCCACCCGUAUGAAUCCUAUGCAAAUGAAGUUGAUUCUUCAGAAUCGCAACAUCUACAUCCAUUUUACACCUGAUUUUUUGUCUCUCGUGAUCCAGUCGUUGCUUUCUUGAAUGUUAAUUUGACCUUUAUUACGUCCUAUAGCAGAAGAAAAUCUAUUUGUUUUGAUUGGCUCUUACUAUAUUACAAGAUAGAAAAAUGCUUAACGACCCAGUCUUCUCCAUCAUACUUUUAGCAUUAGCUUUUAACUUUAAUCGGCUCUCGUAAAACGUCAUUAACCAUGGGGUACGGUGAAUUUAUUUCAUACUCCUAUUUGAAGGGUUUUACAGGUAAGUUCUGAAGACCUCAGUCUAAUAAAUCAAAUUUCUGAAGACCCCAGUCUAGCAAUUAAAAUUGAAAUCUCACUAAUUACAAGUCCUGCAGUCAAAUUUUCCGGUUAUCUCUCAACUUCUUUAAAUCUCACCCUCUCUCCUGCCAAAAAAAAUUCUGAAAAAAAUCUUAUGUUAAAAAUUAGGGAUGGCAAUGGGGGCGGGUGGCCACGCGAGGGAUUAAUGGGGCGGGGGAUGGGAGAGUGUACUUCUGCCCCAUCCCCCGCCCCGCCAUCCGCUUUAAAAAAAUAAAUAUAUAAAAUAUAUAUGUAUAUAAUUAUAUAUAGAUAUAUAAUUUAAUUAGUUACAAAUUUAUGAUAAUGAUAUUAUUAGUUAUAUGUAUUAUAUAAUGUCUAUUAGUAUAUAUAAUAUAAUUGAUAUUAUUAAUUAUACUAAUAAUUAUACAUGUGUACUAAUACAAAUUAUUAAUUGAUUAUACUAAAUUUACUAAUACAUUUAUACUAAAUCCCUAAUCACACUUAAUACAAUAACAUUUUUUUCUUAAAAAAAGCACAAGCACAAUAAUAAAUUAGUGAUUGUAUUUGUGUCAAAAGUGAAAACUUGACUACUUUAGUUAUAUUUAUUUCAUCAUGUUGGAUUGUAUUCAAAUAAUUUUUAUUUGAUUGUUUUUACAAGUUUCAAUUGUAAAAUUAUAAUGAAUAAUAAUUUGAUGAUGUGUUGAUAUUUUAAUAUUUGAUUAUUUGCUAAAUUUUAACUAUAAUAAAAUUAUAUAAUAAAUUUUUAUUAGCCCCGCCGGGACACCCGCGAGAAAAGCGGGACGGGGCGAGGGGAGUGGGAGACGGGGGAUGGGGCGGGGGCGGGGGCGAGUGGAGUUUGUAGGCAGCGGCCCUGCCCUAACCCCGCCCCGUUGCCAUCCCUAUUAAAAAUGAUAGUGAAAGUGUCAUUAACAAAAAGUUGACUGCAACAAAAAAAAAAAAAAGUUGACUGCACUGAACAAUUCUCUUUAAAAUUGGAAAUGUUAAAAUUUAAAGCCGCGACGUGUAAAAGUGGGGAACCGAAGACGACGAUUGAUGGGCUAAGAAUAAAAAGCCGCGGCAGCUAAGCUGUACGCUAGUGAAUUAGUGAGGAAACUUCGCAUUUUGUGGUAUCGAAAUCGGCGCCAUUUCCGACUGCUUUUUCCUUUUCUUUUCUCCAUAGAUUUCUUUCUAUAACUCGGCAAUUGUUUUAUCCAUUAUGUCGAACUUUCACCUUUUCUUUUUCAAAAGUUUUUCUCCACAGAAUUAAUUUAAUUCUGCAACAUGUGAUAAUAUUCAUGAGUGCAUUUUUUAUCACAAUAAUUACCUCAUUUGCAGCACCAUUGUAUGGUUUUUGCCGGGGGGCUGGGAAUCCUUGAGUGUGUUGUGUUGUGUUGGUUGAACUACCGGUGCCACGGCAGACUAGUUCUAUUUCCCUUUUCCUAAUUUAUGGCCAUUUAAUUUUUGUUUCAACGUGAUCUUUCUUUGGUGGUUAGAAAAAAAAAAAUUAUAAAUGCACUUCCAUCUCCAAUUUUAAACUUUAUUGUUGAAAUCUUUGCCCCUAAAAUAUGAAAUCUAUUUCACUUUAGUUCUUAAACUUCAGCUUUGGACACAUCACCUUUUAAAGUAUGAAAUUCAUUCCAUUUUAGUCCGUUACUUUUGAUGCUUCGGGGGAUAAAUUUCAUAUUUUAAGCGAUAAAGUGUCAAAAAUAGAAGUAUAAGGAUGAAAGCGGAUAAAAUUUCUGUAGCAAGUAAAGUGUCCAAAAAUAAAAUUUAAGGAUUUACAUGAGAAUGCAUUUAUAGUUUAAGAGUGCAAAGUAAAAUCUAGCCUAACUUAUUAUUCAGAUUUCUAAAAUAAAUUGACAGGACUGACCCUUUUUUUUUUUUUUUUAUAAAUCUAUCUAGUUGAUAAUUUAAAAUCUAAAUAACUUGUUCAACACCUUAACGAAACUGUUCCGGGUUGUCUGGUCUUUGCCAGAAUCACAUAGCUUGACAAUCCUUCCAGGUUCAGUUUAAAAAGGAUCAUUCAACGGUUUAUUUGUUCGGCUGCACAGAUUCUUAAAAUAUUGCAGCUGUGCCAGAUACUGUAUUGUCCUAACUUCGUCAAUGAUUUUGUACUCAAAUUGCAAGCUGCUUAUUAGAAACUUUCAAUGAAAUUCAGAUCACCCCGGUUUGCCAGUGGUUUGGCCAUUUCUAUGAAUUUAGUUGAAGCCCUUGCUGCAUUUUGUAUCAGCUUUCGAUACAUUAGAUUUUCACAUACAAAUCACAGUUGAAUUCUCCAACGAAAACUUGCUCCCUAUAAGCUUACAUUUUUUCCAGGCUACAUUUCUUGACAUAUAUGUAUACGUGGCAAGAAACGUCUGCUUUUUAACUGCCUGAGUGAUUUUGUUGAGCUCCAAUGGCUGAUCCUGCUUUCUCGUUCUUCAGCUUGGUGCUUCUUGAAUAAAUUUAGGCGUGCCUUUUCAAGCAAUCAAAGUUUCAGUUCUUAAGUGUCUAAGUGCGAACAAAACUAGUUCAUUCUGGCAUUCUGGUAUUCAGCAUUGUACUUUUGCAUAUGGCAUUUAUACUAUUACUAAUUUGUUUGACUUUUGGACGUCGCGUCUGGUUUUUUCUUUCUGUGCUUCUCCUACUUACUGUUUGUCUGAAGUCCGAAUACUUAUGGGCCAUGGCUAAAGUGCAGAAGGUAUAUGAUUGGCCUGCGCAACACUAGAGAUAUAGUCAAGAUCGAUGAAACCAUGCAGAACUAAAUUGAGUAUCCCAUUUCUCUUGCUGAGUUCAUCAUCAUUGGUUGAAGUUUACAGGAAUCAACCAUGUGGAAUAAUUGUACUACCUUUAGUUCCAAAGAAACAGUUCAGGCAGGGGCUAAGAAGUGAUUCAUUACCAUCACAGCAAAAAAGGCAAAAAGAAAAAUAGGAACAGAAGAAGAUGCCAUUUCGCACACAGUAUCAGACCUUCUGCAUUACACUUACUCGAUGCAAAAUGACGGGGCUUUCACUUGCUCAUGCCCGUUCUGCAUCCUAAAUUUCUUUAGCAGGAAUUUGUGAUUCAUUACCUGUCUAGACGUAAGGAAAUAAGUUCUGGAGGCGCCAAGUUGACAGCUUCUGCAGUUAUGCCUGAAUGGCAAAUACAAAACACGCUUAGUGGUAGUGCAUAAUUUGUUAGGGAAUGGAGAUCGGGUAGGAUCUAAGUAUUCAGUUUAAUUGGGAAAAUUCUAGAGAAUCAAGAUGCCAUGUUUGUUAGCUUGCCUUGCUUGAGAUAUUGCUAGACAACCAAUCUAGGCCCUCGUAGAGUCCCUGACCCGAAGUUGCGCAGGCACUCUGGAUAUACCUGCAUCAGUCAUAUCCUAUAACAUAAAUCCCAUAGAGUAACUCCUCAGGAUUUCUUAGAACCGUGUUAUGGUGUUUUUAUGUAGUCUUAUAGUUUCUCUUUGUGCACAUAAUUGCUGAUGUGUCUAAACAGCAAUACUUUAGGCAGAUCGAUUGCACAGGUUUAGUCGUGCAUACCAGCGGCGCUGACGGAGUGAGUGGAGGCCAAGUUUAUCUGUGAUUUCAGAGACUCUCAUGGCAUUUGGGAGAUCUUGCUUAUUGGCAAAGACAAGAAGGAUGGCAUCACGUAGUUCCUCCUAGGAAAAGAGAAGCAAAUUGUGGGCAUGAAUCUCAUGACAACUACUUCGUGGAGGAUUUUUUUUUUUUUUUACUUUUUUUGGGUAAGCACUUCGUGUAGGAUAGUCGAUUCGUGUUAAGCGUUCCACACAACGUACCUCAUUAAGCAUUCGAUGGAGCUCAUCUCUUGCUUCUGAAAUUCUUUCUUUGUCAUUACUAUCAACUACGAAAAUAAGGCCCUGAGUGUUCUGAAAGUAGUGCCUCCAUAAAGGUCGAAUCUGUAGAUGAAUGAGUAUAGUAGUAAGAGAAGCUCUUUCGAUGUGUGAUUAGCAUGCCUGAUAUGCAGAUAGCAGUGAUUUGUAACGCAUGCGUGCAUGAGGAGACCAUAAGACGUGCAUGGGUUUUGCCCUUGGCUAGUUAAGAUUUUUGCCAAUUGAUUUUCAUAAGUAAAGAAAGAUUAGGUAAUUGAUAACAAAAAGUACCUUAUCCUGUCCUCCUACAUCCCAUACUGUGAAACUUGCGUUUUUGUAUUCCACUGUCUCUACAUUGAAGCCUGUUUGAUCCCAAAAAACCGUUGAGACCAGAUACAUCAUACAAUUUUCAAGUUUUACAAGCACCCUCUGGGCAAACAAAUUUAAUUAGGGAAGAUUGAGAGCUCUGUGUAGGAUAAAUACAACAUCCUAGUUAGCAAUCCAUGUAACUAGUGCUCACAUAUGAACUUGAAACACAUACACAACACACACAGUAAGAAGUUCCAAGCAGAUACCUAUAGUGGGGAUGGUAGUAACAAUCUCUCCAAGCUUUAACUUGUACAGAAUAGUAGUUUUGCCAGCGGCAUCAAGACCAACCAUCAGAAUCCUCAUUUCUUUCUUCGCAAAGAGCAUUUUUGCAAACCUUGAUAUUGCCAAACCCAUUUCUGUACCAAAUAAUCAGGAAACUAGAAAAAGAAAAUUAGGUACGUCGUACUUUAAGCUGUCCAAAUUCACUCACUUGAAAAAUUUAGUAGAAGAUGCCAGUGGAGACACACAGAAAAUGCAUUGCUUUCUGUUCUUGCUUGUAUUUAAUUGACGAACGUGCUGAGAAGCAUAAAGAGGAAAGGUGGAUGGGAUUCAGCCAGGGGCCGAGGUAGAAUAAAGGGCACUGAAUUGUUAUGCCUUCGGCUGUGAAGAAAAAUUCGAUUUGACAUAUUCCUGGAAUAGCCUAAUAUCAGUCCAGACGAGUGACAUGAGCUGAGAUUCGCUCUUUGAGUUGGACGUUUAUAGAAUCUAAUGACGCCCAAUUUGCAGGGAAUCGGAUUCACUUUUGUUUUGGAUGAAGAGCACCACAUAAAAGUAAACUAGUUGGCUGGUAUUUCCUUUCAAGAUUGCUUUCUUCGCUUGGACUUCUAUUACGCACCGUAACGUGCUCUACAUCACCAUAUGCUGAUAUUGGUGUGUGGUUUACGGGAUCAUCUCGCUUGACGGUUAAUCCUUUUUGUGGGGAUCAUGAUUACGUGCUACAUUGUUUUUUUACUUCCCUUGGCAUUAAGAAUUACGAAGAGGCCUUUCUGGCCAGCUUCUUCAGGAAUUGAUAAUCGUCAAUCCUGACCUUUGAUAAUAAAAGCAUCAACAAGGGGUUUAAUACAUUAAUGUCAAUAUAUAGGCAUGUUCAUGGCUGCCAAGGCUUGCUACUUAAACGUGUUACCGUCGACGGAUGCCAACCAAGGUACGAGCAAAUGAAAUGGAAAUGGGGGCAUAAGUCAUAACAUGUGACGUGCCCAUAACAUUGGUAAUCAGAUUGACUAUAGAGAGAGCAAAUAAAGAUAACCAACAUUCCAUAGACAGCAAGGGAAAACAGAUAGUAAAUCAUAAGCCAUCUUCUACUAUAAAUUUAAAGAAGGCGUUAUCCUUGGCCUGGAGGUGGAGUGAUGAGUCGUAAAAACACUGUCCAAUCAAACAUGAAAUUCUUGAACUAGAACUAAACCUGAAUAAACAAGCGAAAGCCGACACAGAGAUGAAGUAUAGCAAUAGAAGUGCCUAAAAAAAAAAGGGGCCUAUUGUGAAGUUACUUCCGAGAGAUAGCCUCCUUGGCAGACUCUAAGGUUGAGGCAAUGGAAGCAGCAGCAUUGGCCAAGACACCGCCACUAGUUUUUGAAUCCGGGGAUGAGUCGUGAUGCUGAUGUAUGACCUGCACUGGCUUCUGGUCUAGGCCUCCUCCGGCAGAUGACCUAUAAUCUGUUGAGUCCGCCCUCCUCUCAUCCUGACCUUGUGCAUUUACAGCGCCAGUUUCCUAGCACAACAAGAACCUAAAUAAAUCAUUUAUGCAAUAAAUUAAUUCGAUGCGGAAAUUAUUAGUGAAACAUGCUGUCCAACAUGGAUACAUGUACCUACAGUCUUACCCUGUUCCCCGAUGGGUUCAUACUGCUGACGUUGGUGAUGGGUUGUCCUAAAUUUAGAAAACGAGGUCUUGACUGCGUUUGUUUGGGCUUUUAACGUUCCAAAUGAAACAUUUUUUCACAUUUAUUUAUGCGUGCAUUGGCCGAAUCUGUUGGCAGUCCAAGGAAGAAAAAGUCUUUAGGAUUUAGCAGCAACCAACCGAAGGCGAUUACUGCGUUUCAGUUAUGGCCAAAGUUUUUUCAAAAAUUUUCCCCUUCCGUGUUUUACAUAGUUGUGAUGGAAAGAUUAUAGCUCUUCAAAGCGGCAGCCAAAGAUUAUAGUUAAGCGAAGAGAUGUACUUGCCAUUAACCAGGAAGUUGGUCUAACAAAAUAAUUUUGCCAAGAUGAGACAUUUGGCUUCUCCAGCUCCUCCAUUAUCUUUUUCAAUACCACCACUCCGACCCCAUAAGCAUCCACCCUCAUUGCGUUGCAUUGAGGAGAAAGGACACAACCAUGUCAUCACAAGGGGUUCUGCACCAGUAAACCUCUUGGCUUGCAUAACAACUGAUACUACAUAAUAGAUUGAAUUAAAUUCGCUCGUUUCUCUCUUAUUAUUAUGUUUUGGCUCAAAAAUGCCAACGUUAUACAACCACUUCGUGAAAUUCACCUGAUGGCACUUGAACAUAUUUCUGGGCAUGUAAUAAAAUUGUAACUACUAGCUAAUAAUCAGCUAGCUUUUGAAGUUGGUUAAAAACUUACUGUUUUUUAAGACCUUAGGUUAAAUGGUGCAAGGUAUUGCCUAGAGCUACCAUGGAAGUAAGCCUUAUUCUGCUGAUAAAUCCUAAAUGAAGUGCUCAAGGACCUCUUCUUACAAAAAUACAUUUCCAGUUAUGCAGCAUGUCCCUAAGAUAUACCCAGACAGUAGUUCCUACUUUAUGUUCUAAGUAGGACUAGUUGCAACUAAAAGAAGCAAAAACUUUGAGAUACACUAAGUAGUUUUUGAACAGACAACAAUGACUAGCAUAGCUGCUAGAUUGUGUACACCAUUGAAGUCCAAAUUCUCAUAGACAAUCAAUAUGUCACCAGGGGUGAUCCACUGCAAUGGACAUCAGAAGCAUCAGAAAUCCUUUGCCUCGGGGACAAGGUACUGUUUGCAGCUGCAUCCACAUCAACAUUGAUGAAACUUUUCCUCUUUUGAGUUUCUAGUUUCAGCAGGUCUUCCUCCUCCUCAGGUAUGGUAUCCAAUGGUUCUAUUUGCUGCUGGUUCUGAGAUAUCAUAGCUUGAGCUUCUGCAACCACUGAAGCAUCAUCAUCUGUGGCAUAUAGAAUCCUCUUUAUUGCCUCAACCACCUGCAACAUAGAAUGCUAUCAGAUGAAGCAUUUAACCACAAAACCCUAUGCUUGUACAAUUGCUGAAAUUAAGAUGGUUGGAGAAUACUACAGGUAGGUUUUCAAUCUCAGGGCACUGGCACAAGAUUUCAAUGUCCCUCAACUUGGCGAAGUAGAAGUCCCUCUCCUUCUCAAGACUAUCCACAGAUAAUUUCAACUCUGUUAUCUGCAUUAGUACAUAUUCAUUACCCCUUGAAGCCUCAAUAUUCUCAGAUCAAAAUCAUUUUCAUAGUGGACGAAGUACCUGUUGUUCAUAUGCAGUUCGUUCGGCUUCAGAAUAGACUGAAGACCCUCCGCUUGAAGAAGGCCUAGAGGACUUGACAGCUUGACUUGCAAUAUUGACAUGUGGUGCAUCACUUCUUCGAGCAUUGUGAGGAGCAUGUUUGGCAGCAGCAGGAGCUGCACUUUUAGUUGAAGGCUGUGAUGGAACAGAUUUCUUGCUAGUAUCUUUUCCACCCUUGGAGGCCUCUCUUCUCCUCUCAAGAGCAUUGUAACUGUUGUUUGACAUUCAAGCGUUACAAAAAAAAAAAAAAAACAUUCAUCAAAAGCUGAGUCGGAGUCCUUUAAAAUGACAGCUAAUGAAAUUCUCAAUUAGACAUGGAUAGUUGAGGCUCCAACCACGUCAUUAAGUAGUGUCAUGUAGCUUAACUAUUUCUGAGCAAUUACAGAGAUUCAGAGAUAAAUAUAUAAGUAUCUGCAACAUGUUUACAUUCUUAUUUUGUUUUGCAUAAUUCUGAGUUCAAGUACCUUGGUGAUAAGUAAAAAUUACGAGCUACUAAGUUUACAAUACUCACACACAAUACCAACAUAGUGGCAGAUCUAACCUACUUGAGAAUGAAGAAAACUAAAGAAACAAACACAAAGUGCUUAUCAAAUGAUUGGCGUCCAAAUUCAUGCUGGGAACAGAACAUUGAUUCUUAGGAGAUCUUUAAAAUAGAAACCAAAUUAGCAGUACAAAGAAAAGAGAUGAUACAACAUUACCCAAAAAGAAGGCAGGAAGAAGAAGAAGAAGAAGAAAUAAAGCAGCUAGAUAUACCAGAAAUUAUGAAAUGAAUACAGCAGAGUGAACCACAGAGGUAGUUUUCCUCAAUUGAGGUAAGACAGAAAGUUCGGGGGGCAGUCAGGUUCAGAGAAAACCUGUUGAUAGAUCCUCCAUUAACAGUGUCACAGUAGCGCUUCAUCCACUGCAUGAAUUCCAGAUUGUCCAAAGGCCUUCCUUUUAUCAGCUUAUUAACUUCAAUGUGCUAUACUACGACAAACAAAGACUAUUAAUCAACUGGUCAAACAUAAUUUUAGGAGAAAACGAAACUGCUACCAUCUUCAAAUCUCAGCACCAAAAAAGGAAAAGCAAAGAACCUUGUAAAAUUGUCCAAUUUCAUAUUCUAGGAGACAAUAAAUAUGUUCUUCUAUGAGAUGAAACAGGACCUUUCCCCCAAGAAAAAAAAAAUCCUUAAAAACUAAAGCAAAAGGGAGAGGGAGAGAGGACCUUGGUGAUUUUGAGCUUGUUGAAAACGUCCUGGAGGACUUUGUAGUUCUGAAUCAUUUCAUACUCGGUCUUGGCAUCGAAAUUGACCUUGUGCAUCGGCACAGUUCCUGGAUGAACGGCGUCCAUCAGCUGGCACUGGACCGCACCUGUACAUGCCUGUGUAGAAAUGAUUUUACGAAAAUUCACAAUUUGCAAGGCAAAAACAAAACAGAGAGAGAGAGAGAACGGCGAAAAGGAUCUAGGGUUCGUAAGGCACGUUGAGAGGGAAAUGGGAAAGUAGUGUACCUCCUCGACUUUGGUGAGGUUGAGAUGUAGCGUGGAAUUAAUCCAAGUUAAGAUCUCCGAUCUGCCGACGAAGUAAGCCGAGUCCAUCAUCCCUAUGUUCGUCGCCAUUCCUCUUCGAAUCUCUCCGCUCCUUCUCCUGAAUCGAUAUCGGCGAUGUGUGUGUGCGCGUGUGUUAUUUGAAAUGAGGGGAGAGCGGGAUGGAGUGUUCUUUUUCUUAGCAAGUACUAUUUGAUUAUGAUUAUAGGUGGACUACUUUUUUUGACACUGAGAGAUUCUAGCGGUUUUAUGCUAGAAAGGUAUUUUGGGCCGUAACGAUCUCAAGGCCCAACAAGUGAAGCAAUCUGCAGUCUGGCCCAUUGUUUAUCAGGCACCAUUUGGGAUUUCGACACUGACAGUUUUGUUUUUCCCAGCCGCAUGGAUGCCUCCCGCUGAAACAAACACUAGUACCGGUCUUAUUUCAAAAUCGAGUUGAUUUGUUCGGAUUGUAGUUUAUUUGUAAAUUUUUAGUUGUUUACGUCAUUAACAUAUUUUUUAAUUAUUUUUUUAUCUUAUAUGUAUAUCAUAUCAAAAAUUACUGCAGUAUCUUUUUAAAAAUCAUUCCAAAUAAUCUACUAUUCCGAACACACUCACGUGAUAUUUAAAAAUGAUCCUGUCUUGUUUUUUAAGAUUCAAAAAAAAAAAUGCAAAUAAAUUUUUUUUUUUUGGUAUGAAAGUUUACAUCACAUAUAUAUUAUCUGAAAAAUUGCUAUAGAUGUAUUUCCUUUGAAGAUAAGAUAUGGUGGCCGCUGGACACUUUCAUAUUUGGUCACAAAAAGACGGUACCAACAACAAAGAAAUUCCACACGUUUGCAGUUCUAUUACAGUAGCCGCAAAAAGUCCUAUGGCUAUUACAUAUUCGAGGGCUGAGGUUUAGGAGGACAAACUCUUUUUUUAUUAGUGCCAUUAAUUAUAGCAGCUUUAUGCAAUCAUUAAACCCAUCAAAUUUGUUCAUCUGCGUUAUUCAUGUAGGAAACAUAUAAUUCCCGCCAAUUAUCAUAAACCCAUUCCUGCAUUAAAAGUCCGGGAUGCUUAAUAAGAGGAUUAUCUUAAAUAAAAUCCCAUUAGUCGUCCGUCACCUUUAAGCGAUCUCUUCAUCCACAUUGCGUAUCUAGUCAAUUAUGUCAAAGUGCAUUUUAAGUCUAAAACCACCUAGCAAGGCGUGCCGUUUUACAAGGAAGAGGGAAAAUUCUACUCUGUUACAAGGACGACGCUUCGUGCGUCUUUUGAGUUGCACUUACCCAUUGUCCUAUAAAAUUGCGAUAAUAUUUGCAGACCCGACAAAGGUAGGAAUCGAACUCCCAACCACCACCUUUUUCAUUGUCCAUUCCUUAUUUGAUUUACUAAUGUUCCCCUGACUUAUUAAGAUUUUUUUAAAUCGAUGAUGGGUGUGUUUGGAUUGUAAUUUUUCAUUAUGUUUUUUAUGGACACAUUUUCUAAUCACCUUUUUACCUUACAUGUAUCAAAUCAUUACAGUAAUUUUUCUACAAAAAAAAAGUGUAGAAAAAUGCAAUCCAAACAAAGACAAUUGCUUCUUUGUAUUUGGUUUUCUUAUCAUUUUAACCCCCCAAAAGGUAAAUAACUCUAGAAUAAAAAAAAAAAAAGGUAAAUAGCUCUCCGGGGUCCAACAGGACAAAAUUGGAAUUUUAUAAAAAAGAAAAUGAAUAUCAUAGGGAGAAGCGUGGGUUGAGUCCAAAAUUAGCAAAAGUUACUUGAUGUUAGAAGACAACAAUAAUGAUCUGACUAUGGCUUUGGACAUGACAAAUUCCUAUCACCAAUCUUCACGAUCAACAGCACUCCCUGAGAAAACCACCUCCACCUACCAGUCAAUAAUCUACAUUCACAGUCCUCUCUAAUUGGGCCCAUUUAUGAUUGGACUAGUGCCCAUAAUAAUACGAGGAAGAACUUGAACUAGGAAACUUGUCCAGUGCUUGAAGAACUUCUUUCAUGGUUGGUCUCUUCUGCGGAACAGUAGAGAUACAACUGUAACCUACUUUCAGAAGGGCCAACAAAGCUUCCUCCUUGCCUUCCAGGUCAGCUCGAAUUGCCACAUCAGCCAUCUUCAGUACCUUAUUCUUCUCCUCAUCAUCUAGUGCAGUUGCCCCGGUUAUCGGGCCUGGCCCCGGGCCUGUUUCAUCAGAAACAACGAUUUUCGCUGUCAGCAGUUCAAGUAAAACCACGCCGAAUGCGAAAACAUCCCACUUGGGGUUGGGUUUGAUGCUACGGAGAGACUCAGGUGCGUGAUAAGGCGAAAUGCCCAAUGUACUAGGGCUCGGGCUUGGAGUAGGCCCAAACGAAAGGUCUUGGAAGCUAUCUCGUGAAGCUGUUGACCUCUUGCUACCAAAGAUGCGCGAAGAUCCACCUGCCUUGGAGCUGUUAUCUCCAGCGACCAGUCUUUCAAGCCCAAAAUCACCAAUCUUCGGUUCCAUAUCGACACCCAAGAGAAUGUUGUUGGGCUUCAAGUUCCCAUGCACAUGUUUCUUGUCGUGGAUGUAACAGAGCCCACGAGCCACUCCUUUAGCUAUCUUGAGCCGCAUCUCCCAGGGUACAGGACAAGGAGAAGAGCCGGCUUUCCCUAAAAAUUAGUAGAAGCCAAAACAAAAAGAUUAGGUUUCCAGAUUAGGUGGACACAGAUCCACAGAAAUCAAACGACAAACUAUACCAAAAAAAAAAAAAAUAUAUAUAUAUAUAUAUAUAAAAAACACGUUAUGCACAGUCCCUUUCCAUGCAAGUGACCACUGAAAAUGAGCCUGGCGUAUUAAGUAUUUAUGGAUACGUGUGUCAAUCACUUUCGGGCACGUGGGCCCGGUGGAGGAAGUGCGAACCACGGGCUACAGAUAUGGUUGACUUGUGGUAGCAGUUCGCCUAUUCACCUUUCAGUGCAUUUAAAAACAAGCUUCAGAUAGAGCCACUCCACCGUCCAGAAACCAUAAUAGGAAAAGAAUUUAUGCUACGCUACACACAAUUCUUGGACUACUAAUGUGUGAAAACUUGAGUCAAAAUUCUCUCAUUUUGGUCAGGUUCCUUUAUUAUCAUAUCCGACCCCUUUAAUGUGUAGUGUACUUUCAUCAGAGCAAAUUGUGCUUCAUUGUGCAGCGUGCCCGGAUGAAAAUGUACUGUUAUUUUGGUGCACACAUUUGAACGGACGGCCGUGGAAGUUGUAGCUGUUGCGGUCCCUGGGUUGUGGGGGGGGAAAUUUAGAGGGAAGAGGGUGGCCAUUGCUGGUCAUUCCAUGCCCACUGAUUAUAACCCACCCACAUGACAGACAUUUCCCCAACACCACGUUACUAAAUAAAUUUAAAAAAAAAAAAAAAAACAGCAGCCUAAAGGGUUUAUCAGUAAACUUGCAGACUCUGUGAUCUGUGUUUUUGCAGAAACAUAAAAUUAUUGUCGGCGCAAUUUGCGAAUUUGAGCAUCAAGGGAAAGAGGACUUACUGUGACGUGCAUUGGCAAGACUCCCGUUGGGAACAAAAUCGUAGAUGAUCAAUUUCUCAUCAGCGCCCCAGUAGAACCCACGAAUUUUCACCAAAUUUGGAUGCACCAACUUGGCAAUUACCCUGAUCUGGUUCUCAAAGUCUCUGAACCUUUCCAUGCCGCUCUCGCCAAUUCUUCGAACAGCUAGAGCAGUCCCGUCUUCAAGAACGGCCUUGUACAUGAUACUGGACCCCGUGGCACCCAAAAUGUAAGCAGAGGCCUUAAGCAACGUCUCUAGCUCGAGUUCCUUCUCCCCAUCAACGGUCACAAGUGCCCCAUUUUUCUGUCCCUGUUGUAAACUGGCAUUAUUUUCCUGACCACCCCCUCGCAAAUCUUCUUGAUCCUCACUUUCUGAAUUGGUGGCUUGUGAUGUUUCUUCACCGUCUUCUUCUUGUCUUUGCUUUCUCAAGCAAGUCCACGCCCUUAACCAAUUGUACUCUCCCGAGGAUGCCGAUGACGAUGACGAUGACGAUGAUGCCCAGUCAAAGUCCUUGGCGCUCUCGGCCUCUUUCUUUAUGCUGCUUUUGAUGCUUUUCCUUUUCUUUAACUGAUACACGUAGAUGAAAACCGACGCAAGAAUCCCAAUUCCCGCGAUAUCACCCACUACGAUGCCCACAAUAGUGGUGAUUCUCAUCCCACCACCCCUUUGCGGACUUGGUUCAGCAGCUCCACCGGGGGACAGUGCCGCAGGGCUGGAGUCAACAGUCUUGGGAAUUGCUGCAAUUGCUGGCGGGGAUGUUGGAGCAGAGGUAUUCGGCUGGGUGUCAAUGCUAGAAGGAAUAGGACACAAAUUUUUCAGUGGUAGACCGCAUAAUUCAGGAUUCCCAGAAAAUGACUUCACAUCUUGGCUUAAGAAAACACUAGAAUCUGGAAUUUCACCCGUAAAGUUAUUGAAAGAAAGAUCAACAGUUGCAUUUGAGGGGAAAUUGUCACCAAAUUCUGGUGGGAUUUCUCCAGAAAACCUGUUAAACGACAGGUUGAGAUAACGAAAGCCACUGCCUCCAAAAUUUGAGGGCAGUGAUCCAUUCACAAGGUUAAAGGACAGAUCUAGAAACUGGACUGAUUCAAAACCACCAGGAAGUGUGCCGUAAAAGUAGUUAUUUUUCAAAGAAAUCACGGUUAAAUUAGAGAGAGCAGACAAUUUUUCCGGUAUAUUACCCGCCAAAGCAUUUUCAGAGAGAUUAAGAAGCUGGAGACUCUUUAGACCUCCAAUAUUCUCCGGCAGCCGACCAGAAAUCAGGUUAUUAGAAAAAUCAAGAACUCUAAGCUGGGAAGCACGGAAUAGAUACAAAGGAAGAGAGCCGUUAAUUGAAUUGUUGGAAAGGUCGAGACUUGUUAGGUGGGGGAUCAUACCAAGAUUAGCAGGGAGAGAACCAAGAAGCUGAGAGUUUGGAAGAGAGAGGUUGGUGACUCGGUUAGCCUCAGGUGAGCCAGGUUUACCACAGGUGACUCCUUUCCAGGAGCAAGGUGUCUCAUUGUGGAAGUCCCAACUCUGUAGCACGCCAAGGGGGUCCUUGAGAAUGCUGUACUUCAAGGAUAGCAAUAAAACUCCAUCUACGUUGAGCCCAGCAGAAAAUUGAAUUUCUAGAAGAAGAAGAAGAACAAGUGCAAUAACUCUCCACCAUAAAUGGAGAUCAGAGGUUUUGCAGGAGGCAGAGGAGGAGGAGGAGGAGGAGGAGCUCAUCAUGUCUUCUCACAGCGAUCCCACAUCUCUGUACUUUCUACUAAAACAACUGUGAAAGAGGGGCAAUUGAUUUGAGGGAGGGGUGGGGGAGACUAACAAUAACUGAGAUUUAUGAUAUUCAGGGGACCAUGUGAGGGAAGUUUGUAUAAUAUUGAGAGCAAGUGCAGCAAGACGCACAGCUCACCCAAAACCAAACUUCCCUCACCAAUUUGCUCUCGCAGCAAGACGCACAGCUCACCCAAAACCAAACUUCCCUCACCAAUUUGCUCUCGCUUCAGACUUCAGGCUACGUUAAAUCUACAAAUUAAUAUUCUAGUCACCAUACUAAUAUGACAUCGUACUAGAACAAAUAUGAUAUUAAAUCUUACACUAAUAAUCUUCUCAUAGUUGUUGGCUUUCUGUCUCUUAUUAUUAUUAUUAUUAUUAUCAUUAAUUUUAUUUUGGUGCUACGCCUUACCCUGCAAAGAUUGGUGAAAACAAUUUACAAAGUCUCGCAGACUUGCACAGGAUUCUUUAAUGGAUUACAUCAGAGAUAAUAAGGCGCCCCCCCGGGGGGGGGGAGAUAGCAUCUUUGCUAGGUGACAGAAAGGUGGAGUUGGAAAGUGCAGAACUCGCACUUAUUGACUUUGCUGAUGCUUCUUACAUAAUUAAAGGUUACUGGUGUGUACUUCUGUUGUUAUUCGCAUCAGCAUUAGCCCGGAACUGAAAAGUAUUCACGUUUAUAUUGUAGCAUCCCUUCUAGCCUGUGAUUUCUUGAAUUUUAGCAGGCCUGUGAAAGUGCUAAGAAAAUCUGAUUGAAAUUUAAGGAAUCAUUCGUAUUAAAUGUUAUAAAUAGUGCCGUCUGAUGAAGCUACUGGUGGCAAAAGCCAGUAGGGAACUAGCUUUGCUUAUUUGGGUCUAUCUAAUUCUUUUGUGUAGUGCAGUCACCGGCGUUAAACGUAGCUGUAAAGGGGUGUGGCAUUCAUUACUGCCCUCAUAAAUAACCUCCAGGAAUUGGGUGGCACAGUUUUAAUGCACGAAGCUGUUACGUUCAUUUUCCAAAAAUAUGCCAUGCUAUGGAACUCAAGCAUGCUGAUUUAAGAUGCGUUUUUGAUCAUCUAAGACGAAAAAACACAUACAGCCUAGUCUUGGUAGGCUUCUCUCUUUCGGAAAUUAGGAAAACUAUGGUGUUUUUUAAUUUUUUUUCCGAUACAAGGAGUAUUCCAACUUUUGACAAACUAAUCUUCCUACGUCCGUACAUCCCGCCCCCAAGAAUACACAGAGCAGUAGGAGGGACGACUCGAAAACAUGACCUCAGGAUUCAAAGGAGUUACCCCGGUGCCAUCCAAACCAACCCUGAGGGGAUAGGAAAACUAGUGUUUGGAUUGCAAUUUUCUAUCAAAAAAUUUUUUACGUUUUUCUCGUUAUUAUAUUUUUUAAUUUCUUUUUUACCUUUUAUAUAUUGAAUCAUUGUAAUAUAGUUUUGGGAAAAAUACAAAAAAUUCUCAUGUGGUACACCUAAUACACAGAAAAGCCUUCCAUGAUUUCAAAAUAUACAACACGACACCUCGCAUUUUGGACUAAAUUGUAAAUGUGACGGAAUUCGUUAAACUUAACGGAAUGAACCUAAAAAAAAAAUUUAUACCUAAUUUUUAACAAAUAUAUCUGUUCUACCUCUUAACUCUCAAUUCUCUCUAUCUAGAGAAUAAAACAAGUAAUUUUUUUGAGCAGUCUUUUACUUAAUUAUAUCAGGGCAUUUUGGUCAUUUUAUCCAAUUCCGUUAAAUUUAACGGAUUCCAUCACCUUUACAAUUUAAUUCAAAGUACGGGGUGUCGUGUUGUAUAUUUUGAAACAACGAGAGGCUUUUCUAUAUAUUAAGUUUACCACGGGAGUUUUUUUAUUUUUUACCCUAUAAUUUUUUACAAAAAUUUUAAAAAAUAGCAAUCCAAAUGGAAAGGGCCAGUAGUAGAAAAUUGAAUUAAUGCCAUUCAUGUGCUUAGUGAGCACAAUGUGCACGAGCUACAUCAGGAAACAAUUGGCUGGAGCAUCAAGAACCCGCUCAAUUAAUCUACUAACUUUUUCAAGACAAUUGACUCGUUCCACUGACCAAAUCUUGUGGAACAAAUCCUUGAUACGAGACUACCGUGCCAUGCAUCGCAAUUCCUCAUUUUCUUUCACAGACUGGAUAUCUAGAAUAAGAGUGGUCAAAGUUGAUGCAUGAUGGAUUAUCUCUCCACCAACUGAACUUGACUUUGUAUUAACACAUUAAAUUAGGGAAUGUAUUACAUUAUUAGGAGCUAGCGCCUGCUACCGGUCACAGACAUUUGGCUCUCGAAGACCAUUUAAAUCGUCAUCCAAUUAGAUGGACUAUCUAGCCAACUUUCUCUAAAGGAGUUGACCACCACAUGUACUAUCGGGUGGCAGAUCAAGGGUUCAAACUAUACUUUCCAUCAAUGUGUCGUUAUAUGUGAUUUCUUCUAAAAUCAUAUGAGUGCGUGAUGCAUCCGUCUAAUCCGAUGGUGAUUCAGUCCCCACCAAUUUUCUGGGCAACCCCUCUGGAGUAGGCUAGAGUAGAAAAAAAAAAUUCAUGGGCAAGGCAAACCGGCAUCCACCAGGACAUGCCCUUUCUCUGGUCACGUUUAGCCUUUUUUCUUUCUUCUUGGUCCAUAAAUUCCAGAAAAGAAAAAAGUGAGGCAUUCACUUGAAAUAGACACUGGGGGACUUCAAUGAUUUCGCUUCCUUCACUUACUAACGGACGAUGAAAUUUUGGACCACCGAAAAAUAGUGUGGACCUCAGUACAAAAUCAUAAUACUUAUUGUCCCUUAGCAUUUGGCUCCAGUGGUAAUAGUCAAACUUGAGUUCCUUAUCAGCAAAGAUGUCUGUUGGGUCUGUAUUCGAAAACUUUCUGAUGGAAAUACCACUCCCCGGACAGGAGGAUGUGUGGUGAUCUCAGAUGUUGCAGUACACAAAAAGUCUGUGUUUUUGCAAUAUAAUUCGGCCCAGGGAUGAUUAUGUAUACGCCACCAAAGUGAAAUGCUACGUACUUCGUUUUGAUACCCUGCUUUCCUCCCUUGGCCCUUUUCAAAAGUGGUUGUUUCAGCUUUUACUUUAAUAGUGUGCUAAUCAGUCAAUUAGGAACAUGACGAACCUUUAACAAGAUUUCCAUCAAGUCCAGCUGAAAGGGUCUUUAGGCUAAUUAAUUAAUUUGGUGGACCGCUCACCUUUUUUGAUGCAGAGAAUAGUAGUAGUACUGAUAUUUAUAUCACUACUGUUAGACGUCUGUGGAUCUGAUGUCUUGAGGGGAAAAAGCUACAAGUGCUAAUUGGAAAAGGGAAAGAAAAGCUCCCCUGCUGAUUCAAGGUCUCCCUCCAAACCCAUCUUAAUGAUAUUCCCUCCGUCCCAAUUUGAUAGUCAUGUAUUCCUUUUUCAUCUGUCCCAAAUUAUAGUCCACUUUCCAAUUGAAGAAUGUAGUUGUAUUUUAAUUUUUCUAAAAUACCCUUAUUCAAUGUAAGUAGUUGUUACUAUAAACCUAUCCCAUUUAAUGAGAGUUGAUUCUUUUUUUACCAUCAAUUCAAGUUUCCAUAAAAUUGUACCAUAUUUAAUGUGAGGGUAUUUUAGAAAAAUAGCAAUCUAAAUUUACUUUUCCAAUAAAGUUAACUACUUUUUCUUAAACUGUGUGAAAAAAGAAACAAGACUAUCAAAGUGGGACGGAGGAAGUACUUAAUUUUUUCUUUCCCCGGCGACUAUUUGGAAAACAGGCACAAAAGUACUCUCCAUCAGUCAUUGAAUUUUGGGUUCUAGAGGACAAACUAGAACACGAAAUUUUACAAUCCUGCAGGGAAAAUCAAUGACAAUGGAGACACUCCAAAAAAUCAAUCCGUACUCGAGGAAAAAAUGACAGAAAACGAUAGCCUCAAGCUAAAAAUCAUCCUCGAUGUCAUAAUCUCGUGCAAAAUUAUGAGAGUACAACGGGGGUGAAACUAUGGGAUACAAAUGCGGGGAUGCCCGGUGUCAUAGAAUUAUACGUCGUCUUAAAAUCUCUCUUAAAGCAUUAAACAUUCCAACAUUUAGAAACUGCAGAUUCCCGCAGCCAGAAUUCUACAGUUCCACUUCUGUGGAUUUUAGUAUAACUUCGUUGACUUGUAACACACUAGUGACAUGCCAACAGAUACUCGUUCAAUGUCAAGCGGCUAUCAGCUUCCAUCCCUAUCAAUGCUUAAGACAGCUUUUGCUGAGCGGAAAGAUAAGAAUUUCACGAACUAUUAUCCUCUGCCGCUAUCUUUUUCAUUUAUCAAAAAAUGUCUAGCAAAAAUGAUAUGACGCCAUGUAUUUGAAAAAGACUCCGUAAAAGGGAAAUCAAUCUUGGGAUGAAAAGAAAAGGCGUAGGGAUGAGAGAGAAUGCAUUUGGAACCCAAUUCUCGGAUGGUUUAUUCGUUUGCACCGACACAUAAAGGCACAUUCCACAACUAGCCCAUGUCUGUACACCACUUCCGAAACCAUCACGUUUGAACGAAUUAUUGGAGCAAUGCAGCUUACUGCAACUCCCCCCCCCCCCCUUUUUUUUUUUUUUCUGGAAGCAGGGUAUUCAAAUCUUCGGUCCGACUAAUCUUUUUGCAGUUUGAGAAGAGAGACUCCAUCCCCUCGAACACGUUAAAUCUGGGACUUGAAUUCUAGUGAAAGAGAUGGACAAUACUUUUUAAGGAGGGUACGUGACCAACAAAGCUACCCAACUUAUUGCAACUUCCCUUGAAUCGUCAUAUUUAUUAGAUAUAUGCUGAAACGGCCAAAGAGUCUCUUCUGAUAUAGACAUAAAGAAUACAAGCGAAGCUCAAUUAUCAGUCCAGAUAUUUGGAUUAAUAGGCUACUCAUUCUCUCUUUCUCUAGCACUAGAAAUUAGUACGAAAAGAGAAAGAAAGCAGAGACGUCCAUCUUAAAGGCUUAUUGCCAUGGUGGGACUUGGGAGUUUUCCUUGAUAAUAUGAUGAAUUGAAGCCAAAAGUAUCAAUAUUCAAUUACGAGGCAGAUCAGAUGUGACUUAACUAGGACCGAGUACACAGUGCAUAUUAUUCUCAAAAAGGCUGAUCCAAUUAAAGCAAGGUCAAAAGAAAGCUAAAAUGAGAUGUAAGAGCACGUGGGUUGCUGCUUCUUUACUGAGUAGGAGUUUAUUAACAAGUACAUUAGCCUUCAAAUGCGUACGAGUAUUGGUGAAAAUGAAGAGACCAGGAAAGCUGGCUUCAGCAGGUCGUAGCCUGAACUUGAAAUGAAGGGAAUCCAUUAGAGGACAAUAUCAGAUUCAGAUACAGUUAACCAUUGGCCUUAGCUUCGAUUAUUGAAGUUCGCAUUUCAACAAAUGGGACUUCAAUCAUGUUAAAACUUGCGACUUUCGGUGGUGACCUUUUUUGUCCGGACUCCUAAUGGUGUCUUUGAGCCGCCCCCCACAUUGGCAACGAGCUCUUCACAGGAAGAAAGAAAGAAAUAUAUAUCAAUUUCUUUCAGAACAAAACUCAGGCAACUGUUUUAAGUGCGAUAUAAGACGUUUCAGCCUGUGAAUUUGUCCCAAAUUUUGGAGCAACAUGCAACAUAUGUUGUUAGUGUGGAGCGGAUAAAUAUACGGAUCCCAGAAUUCGUGGAAAACUAAAUAUUACUGGUGAGACAAUUACUGAUUCUGCACAGAUGAGAAUGAAUUGUUUUCCCUCCACUUAAGGUAAAUUAAUCUCCCCAAUUCCCCAAAACCCAAAAGUUUUUGGCCCUUGGAUGCAGAGGGGACAUGAAUUGGUCGGUGUUGCGGGCGUAUGAACUUGCCAAACGAGACCUCAUCCAAAUCAGGUUACAAAUACUAGGUAUUUGUGCGUUGGAAUCUGAAAAAUGGGAAAAUACUCGUACGAGUCUAGUGAUGUAGCAAUUCAAUUAUAUGGUGUAAAGGGUCUUACACGCUGAUUUAAGAAUUAAGACCAGAAACCGGUGCCAAAUUAGUUAAAAGAACAAUAAAGGAAGUGGAUCGCCUUUACAUCCUGAGAGUACAGAACACACUAAUUAAAUUUGACCAGUCCAUUUUGUAUCGAACAUCGUGCAUGACGUUUCUCCCACGCCAUCCAUCACCACCAUUUUCGCUCACUGAAUCUCGUGUUUCAGCUAUGAGCCAACUUGUCCCCCAUUUUAAAGAAGCGAUGAAAUGCACAUUACAGAUUCAAUUAAAAAAAAAAAAAAAAAGCACUACGCUUGGCUCUGAUGUCCGUUUGAUGAAUUUAGAUUACAUCACUAAUGACUAAGCCGUCUGUGCUGUCAGUUCCCUUCUUCAUUGCAGAAAUCAGCCCCAUAAUCACUACUGCUGAUAUUUACUACCCAUGGUGAAUACGGCUUUAAACUGCACCAUUACUCACUUGAAUCUAUGCAUUAAUUACGGCCAAGACUUGGUAAAUGUUCACAACGAGUUGGGCUGGGCAGCAACAUUUUGAUCAGUGACACCGGUGCAUGACAAUUCGUACAACAAGACAACAUCCACCAUGGAAACAGAGAGACGACGGAUUCACUCCCUAGUCUGCAAUAACAUCUCAAUUAUUUACGCCAGCACCUUUCCUGCCGCUUCCUAACAAGAGCACAUCUGUAUGGACUAAACGGGGUAAUAUCAACAAUGCUGGAAUGACCGACCAUCAACCACAAGCUCAGCCAAGGCGGCACCACUGGCAGGGCCAUUCAGGGUCCCCCCAACAGCUAUGUCCAGUCCCCACAAAACACCCCUUUACACCAGGCAUUUCCCCUAUAACUGGCACUCCAUCAUCCGUGCACGGCAAAGAGCACGGUUGCUCUGCCUUUACUGUUGCUUCACCUUCCGUUAGGUGGCUUUAUACAUUGCCAGCUACUCUCUUGAGCACUCCUUAUGGAUUCUGGGACAGGUGAUAUUUGCUCCGGAUCAUCCGGAACCUCAGCCUCUGCUGACAUUCCACAUAUGUAAACUUCCCCAGUCAAAAAUUUAACCACCAAAACAGACCACAACCUUCUUAAUCAACACAACUGGGAACACCAAAUAAAUUGUAAUCAUACUCAUUACUAGCAAUUGUCACCUUUAGCGAAUGAACUACUUGUUCAAUCAUCACUACUAUUUCAUUUUUGUUUACUACAAAUUUCGGUCUCAUUUGGAUUGUUAUUUGGGUAUUUUUAGGAGUUUUUAUAAAAAAAAAUAUAUAUAUACUGUAAUAACUGAUGCACGUGAAAUAAAAAGAUGAUCCAAAAUUAUACCGUCCAUAGAAAAUGCGGAAAUGUAUAGAAACACAUGACCGAUGACAGGUUUGCUGGUACGAUCUUGAAAUUCACGGCCGUAUAGUAGUGGAACUCGAAAAUUGCUUCCACUUCCACAGCACACCUAUUGGACGAGGAUAGACUUCUGGGUCCAUGGGCUUCCCACCUUGGGCCAUACAAUAACUCAGGAACAGUGCAUGCGGAGUCAUAGCAUCUGGAUCAUUGGGUUCCAAGAUGACACGAUGCUGUGGGCUUUAAGCCCAGACACCCUAAACAAGGAGCUAGACGGCGACAAUUUUAAGGCCCGAGAGGCAGCACAACGGCAUUAGCGUUGAUCCUUGUCCCUCCCUCCAGCACCACCUCCCUAGCUCUACCCUCCACGACCUCCACCUCCUCCAGCUUCCCAGUCACCACCUCAAGGCCACAUAUUCCUCAAUCGCCUUGUUUAAAAGCGUUUUGGCAAAGAGCCGAGGAUUCACUUGGGCCGUUGUCUCCGUUGUACCGAUAGUCCUGGGGCUUUUGGGUGGGCCGUCGAUCCAAGCAGGGAGUUUUGACACUGGAGUUUUAUACAAUGGGCUCCCCGAAGAUGAUGAUGAUGCUUCGGUGAUGGCUAGAUUGAGGGGACGGGAACCGUACGACUGGGGACCAUUGAGCUCCCACUUGAGAUCCUCGGUGACACAUUUUGAGUGCCAAACCAGUGCCACCUCUAAUAUUAUGCCAAGUGUCAUGUUAUUAUUUAUAUUUUAAUUUUUUAAAAAUUCAAAUUAAUUUAAUUUAACACAAAUUAACUCUAUCCUCUAACACUUUGAACCAAACCAACCAACCGGUCUGAUUCCAUUACCAAUACUUUCGUUCAGCAACCACUCAAGAUCUGAUUGGCAUGGGAAAAAGAAAAAGAUACCCCUAAACAAUUGCCUCCAAGCAACCGUAGCCUAAAAGAUACUUUCGUUCAUCGUUGAUUGCUUAGAACAAUCAACCGUAGCCUAAUAAGCGCAAAAUAGCAGCCGCCGACUAUUGAAGCAAAUUGACUACAAAGAUUCAGGAAGUACUCAAUCAAGAACGCCCAACCAUCCCUAGCUUUCUCCAGCAAAGAACGUUUCACAUCAUUCAGGUAAUUAUCCAACCUUGCAUCCAGUUUAAGUCUUGAGUUUUUCCAGCUUUGAUUUAUUAAAUCAACAUCACUAUUUGUUCCAUGAUCUUGAUUUCGAAUUUCAAUUUUUUUAAUAUUAAGAAAGUUAGGAAAUAGACAACAACUCGUAAGUAUUUUAACAACUCAUAAGCAAUAUCACCCUACCUUAUGUUAUGCAAUUUUAUAUCUUCAUUUUCAAUUUCCAUUAAAGUGAAAUUUACAUUGAAUUGUGAGUUUGGAAAGAUUAAAUAUUAAUUGAGUGGUCAAAUUGACUACUUACACGCUAAUUGUAAUAUACCUGGAAAAUAAGUUACUUUGUGGGAUUAAAAAAUUAUUUAUUAUUUCAAGAAUUGUUAUAAAUUUUACUAAUGUACCAAAUUAAAAAAAAAGAUACAAGAAGUAACAAUAGUUUUUCUGACUAGUUGCAAGUAGUAGUAGUGAACAAAACCAAAAUUCUCCCAACAUCAAAUGAGUAAAUCACAGUUUCAAACUAAAAAUGCCACUUGAAUACAUAGAAAUGCCCACCACAUAAGAAUUAUCGUGGAAUCUAUAAUGAGAUAAAAAAAGAUGUAUAUUUCCAAAUCAACCAGCUAAACGAAGCUAACAUACUCGUUUAAUGAAUCAUAAAGCAAACGUGUAACAGCCAUUAUAUUUACAAAUAUUUCAGCACACAACUCCAAAUGUAGUUCGUAUACAGGAAGAUCAACAAACAGCAUAAGCUGAUACAGAACCAAACAAGACUACAGCCUGAAUUUAGCAUCAAACCAAGUUCAACAACCUAGAACUAGACUAAACUUCAACAACAGAAACGAUAUGGGGAACCUUCUGGCAAUCAAAGGGCAAGCUAACAUACUGGCAGGCGAACUCCUUAGCAAUCUCAAAUGCCAAUUCGCCAUGUUUCCAUCGUUUCCUCUGUUUCAGAAGGAAGACUGACACUUCUCCAGCAAUUUUUCUGCAUU
rnacentral:lncRNA from 1 species